CACGUAGGAGGCGAGCGUUGUCCGGAAUCAUUGGGCGUAAAGAGCGCGCAGGCGGCUUGGCAAGUCGGGUGUGAAAUCCCGGGGCUCAACCCCGUGACUGCAUCCGAUACUGUCAGGCUAGAGGUAGGUAGGGGAGAUCGGAAUUCCUGGUGUAGCGGUGAAAUGCGCAGAUAUCAGGAAGAACACCCGUGGCGAAGGCGGCUCUCUGGGACGGUACUGACGCUGAGACGCGAAAGCGUGGGGAGCGAACAGG
rnacentral:rRNA from 1 species